rnacentral:tRNA from 1 species
AAAACUUUAAGUUAAAAAAACUAAUAGCCUUCAAAGUUAUAAAUAAAAGGUGUAUCUUUUAAGUUUUA